AAAAAGACUUGUUUUGAAUGAACGAUAUUUUACUACUGUUGUUUACAAUAAGAAAAAACGCACAACAAUUUUUCAAACGUUAGUUUAUGUUAAUAAGAAAGCAACGAAGUAAGACUAGGAGAAGACCGCCCGAAAUGAUUACAGAAAUAAACUACUUUUAAAAGUUGCUUCGUAAAAUCUGAGAAGCGUGACAGUUUCAAGUCUGUCUUGUAUUGAAAUAUUUCCCCGAAAUCAAGAUGCGCAAGCUGCAGAAUCACUUAAAGUGGCUCCGGUGUUUGAAUAUAAAGUUGGACACGAGAACACUGAGCUACAAAUACCAAGAGUUUGAAGCACAGUUAACUAAGCAUCUUGAAUAGCAGAUGUCGAUACCGGCUGUCUACCCUAAUUACAUUAACCUCGCUCUUCGUUAUAGUUUCAUAGUUGGAAAAUGAUGUUUGUACAAGAAUCUUGGCUUACUCUUUGUCUUAGAAAUCUGUUUUAUGAACGCAAAUGCUAGAUUUUUUUAAUGCAAUGAGAAAGA